rnacentral:lncRNA from 1 species
UACUUCGCCAUACGAACUGUAAGUCCAAGGCGGCGGAUCCAGCUUUCAGGGACCCCUCCUCAUCCAUUCACCCGAACACCCGAAGAGACGGAGGGUUCGGCAAUCGCCACCAAUCCAGCGUGCGAAUCUGGUCCAUCAACUGUGACCUCAACUCCACAUCUCAGCAGCUAGCCAUAAUCUCGCGCUCCCGACUAAUUCGGGGGUCUCCCCAGGAAUCGAACCCAGGACCUUAAACCGCUAAUUGCAGUAGUGUCAACCCAGACCAGACCAGUCUUGGUAUCUCAUCUUCGGAUGGAUCGGUAUUCCUUCAUAGGAAUCUCCUAAAGUCUUCUUGCCGUUCACCACUAACCCACAGACUAUAAAUGAUCUAGAACUGACAAUGUGAUAAAGCGGCCCAGAAGCCUCCCACUCUGUAACAUUACAUUACAUUACAUUACAUUACAUUACCAAGACUUGCAUAACUUGUGUCUUAUAUACCAGUACCAAUGGAAGUAUCGUACAGAUGUCCACCAUCCCUGGACCUGAGGACACGUCCGAGGCACAGCCGAGGCACAGCCGAGGCACAGCCGAGGCAAGGUCGAGGCAAGGUCGAGGCACGGCCCACCAAUAACUACCAGUUAUGCAUCGGCAGUCCCAUAAGAUGCGGGAUAAGACUCCCCACAUGUCUCCCACAGACCCGAGGUCAAAUCCCCUGUCCGAAAAUACUCGAAUUGGGAUAAGUAUCUUUCCGGAAUAAGAAUCAGCGUCAGCCGUCACCGUCGCCAAUCCUCCAAUAGGUUACGAGCCCCGAGUAGCGCCGACAGCUAUCGUCUGAUUGUUAUUUCUAUCCCUUAUCGACAAUGGUCAAGGAUAAGCUUGAUGAGCCGCUGGACCUCCACAAGUACUCCACGUGGCAAAUCCGGUUUAGCGUAUUGUGCAUGGAGCUUGGGCUUGAGCAGUCUUUGCUCGCCGAACCGUGUAACGAGGAGCAGAUUCGUCAAUCGCGGAAAGUCAUCAAUCUGCUUAUCAAGAACGUCAAGGGAUCACCAUUUGCCGAUGGUCACCGGUGCCGCCAACGCGAAGAAGGCUUGGGAUGCCUUGAACUCGAUGUUCGCUGCCAACAACAGGCAGGUGGCUGGCAGAGGUUAAGGCCUGGCUUCUGCUCCCGUCGCGUCCCGGCGCGUCCGGGUUCAAAUCCGCAUGCCGACCUCUCGGGGUGUUUGAGAGGUGGGAGGUGGCCCCCCAUGGGAGGUGGCCCCCCAUCUUAUGGACGGUGUAGGACGUGAUAAAAUCAACUCGCGAGCUGACCAGGAACUAAGUUGACGCGCCGUUGAUCCGCUAGAUUUGGUUGGAUGCUGGUGGUGAGUUGCCAAACUCAAAGAGUACACUCUGAAGUCGGAUGGGGUGAAUGGCUUAGGGUGCCCCUCUAGCAGGGGAGAGCAGGGAAUUGCCUCGGGAAGGAGGCCACUGGUGAAGCUUAACCACCCUGUAACAACAUCAACAACGGUGAAGCUUAACCACCCUGUAACAACAUCAACAACGCCCGCAAGGUGGCUCUACGCCAAGAAUUAAGCCGCUUCAAGAUGGUCGAUGGCGAGCCACUUCCGAAGUAUUUCGCGCGUGCGAGGCAGCUGCAAACGGACUUGUUGGGUGUCGGACACGUAAUCAACGACUCCGAGCUGGCGUAUACCGUCCUAGUUGGUCUACCCAAUCGGUACAGUGUGGUGACGACAACACUACUGAUGCGUGACGGUGAUUUGGACAUGGCGAACGUCACAUCAAAGUAUCGAGACGGCAAACGGUGGGUCAGGCAAAUCUACCGAGUCGGCAGUGUUUGCAUCUGUCGGCGGUUCAAUGUUCGGCGCUUCUAGCAGUCGUCAAUUUCUGGAUAUAAGGGUGGCUACAACAACAGUGGCAGCAGAGCUAGUGGCAGCAAGCCAGGAUCCAGUGGAUCAGCUAGGGAGCCAGGUGUUCCGCGGCAGGUAGCGUUCGUAGCAUACAACAACGAGCGUCCGACAGAAUGGUUUCUGGACUCCGCAUCUACUCACCAUGUAACUUACACCCGAUCCGAACUAUUCAAUGUACGUGUGUUGGAGCCUUGGGAACGCUUCAGCAUUGUGGGCAUUAAGGGCCAGUCACUGCGUCCGACAGAGGUUGGAUCACUUACCAUUCGAUCUAAUGUCAACGACAAUCAAGCCAUCACAUUCAAAAGGGUCUACAUUGACGAGGAGGCGAUGGUAAAGAUUUUAUCCGUCCGUAUCAUCGACGAUCGCGGAGGUUGCGUCGUCUUCGGUGACGGUCAAGUAAAGGUAUACCUGCAAAAUCAUUUAGUGUUGACCGGUGAACGGGACGGUGAUCUCUACCCCACUUGCUAUCGAGGUGGAAGUACAGGCACCAUCAGGAGGACACAGAAUACGAGCUACUGUGACAACGGACAUGGUACAACGUGCACGGCCGUGGAUUCCAACACUUUGGCAUCGGCGUUACGGACAUCUGGGCUACAGCAACCUCGAGGCGUUGCUGCGCCACAAUAUGGUAAUGGGAUUUGACGUCGACCAGCACAGCUUUCAGAAAGCCAGUAUGUGUGUUUGUGAGACCUGCGUUUUUGCAAAGCAGACACGAGGUCCUUUCCGCUGACACAAGGCAGCCAAGCCACUAGCACUAGUUCACAUGGAUGUGUGUGGACCUAUGCCUGAACCUUCGCCUAGUGGUUCGCGUUACGUGACAACUCUGCUUGACGAUCAUACCGGUCUUUCAGCUGUUGCGUUUACAGCGACCAAGGAGGAGGUCUAUCAGAAGAUGGUGGUAAUGAUAGCGGAACUGCAGCGCGCUUCUGGCAGGCAGGCGCUUAAGGAGGUGCGUACGGAUCGUGGCGGGGAGUUCAUUAAUACUCGCACGAAGGGCUAUUUCGCGUCCAGGGGUAUUGUACACGGAACUACGGUAGGCUAUAUAUAGGCUAUAUAGGCUAUAUACCCCUGAGCAAAACGGAGCUGCGGAACGUUUGAAUCGCACUCUCCUAGACAAAACCAGCGCUAUGCUUGUCGAGUCCGGACUACCUAAGUCAUUAUGGGCGGAAGCAUUGGCGACAGCCAAUUACCUCAGGAAUGUGUCGCCAACUGCUGGGUCAACUGUCACACCAUAGGAAGCUUUCUUGAACGUCCGUCCUUACGUCAGUCACCUUCGAGUUUUUGGGUGCGUCGCCUACAUCCACGUACCUGACAUCAAACGCGACAAGUUCGAUCCGGUGAGCAGGCGUGGUAUACUUGUUGGUUACGGGAACGGAGGACAGUACCGUGUGCUGUACGAGGACGGCAGUAGUUUCUAACGUUCGCUUUGAUGAGUCUAACGUCGGCCGGCGGCGUAAUGCCGGGGACUCCGAUUAUGAGUCCAAUGCUGACGAGGAGGAGGAUUUUCGCACUAGUUUGCCUGGUGAGGGAUCGCUGCCUAGGGCUGGCAAAGGGAAACCAGGCAGCACUGUCGGCGAGGGACCGCCGCACUUGGGUGGCGAGGGGGCGCCGGCUGGGGCUGGACCUUCCAGCAGUGCGAACGGGCAAGGAAUCAAUCAGCCUGAUGUGGAAAUGGCGGGAACUAGGUAUCCAGUUAGAGAACGUAAACGCUGCUUUCUCUGCUGGUAUUCCUGAACCUUAUUCGUUUGCUUCAGAUCCACAUGCAGACGACUGGCGGCGUGCGAUGGAUGAGGCCACUCAGAUGGCCAAGGGAGCUUAAGAAGCCGCCGCCUGGUACACGUUUACUGCCUUGUCGGUGGGUGUAUAAGGUGAAGCAUGAUGCAGACGGUAAUGUGGAGCGCUUUAAGGCGCGUUUAGUUGCAAAGGGUUUCGAACAACGCGAGGGGAUUGAUUAUGGGGAGUUGUUUGCCCCUACCUCUCGUGGUUCAUCUUUACGUGCUUAAAUAGCAGUUGCCGCAGCGCGGAACAUGACAGUGCACCAGCUCGAUGUGUCUACUGCGUUUUUGAACGGUGAGCUGACCGGUCGCUUGCGUGCAAGCUGCAGAGGUCUAUUUACGGUUUGAAGCAGGCACCCCGUUGCUGGUAUGAAAAGCUAUCAGCAGAGUUCGCCAAGCUGGGUCUUUAUCCUUCGAAGUCUGAUCCGGCGAUGUUCGUUAAGACGGACGAGCGUGGGGUUGUUAUUGCUUUGGUGCAUGUAGAUGACACCAUUGUUGCGUCAGAAGACCCGGAAUGGUCCGGGCAAUUAAAGUCGCAAUUGCGAAAGUCUUCAAGGUGCGUGACCUUGGAGAAGCGAAGGUGUUUUGGGGUAUGGAGAUAGGAGGGAGAAGUCGGGUGAGAUAGUGUUGUCGCAGCAUAGGUAUAUUGAGCAGCUGUUGGAGCGUCAUAGGAUGGUUGACGCCAAGCCGAGAUCUACCCCUUUGCCUCCGGGCUUUAGGUACACUCCUAAGGAGGACGGAGAGGAGCUGCUGGGCAAUGGUGGGAGGAUUGAACUAUCUGGCGACGAACAUGCGGCCUGACAUUUCGUAUGCAUUGAGCGUCUUGUCCCGGCAUAUGGCCACACCUACGAAGACAGCCAUGAACUUGGCCACUGGCGUUCUGCGUUACCUGGCGGGUACUCGCGAACUAGGAUUGCGUUUUGGGGGUGUUGGCGGUGUUGCAAUGUCCGGGUAUAGCGAUUCUGGCUGGGCAGGAGACCCAGUUACGCGGUGUUCUACGUCCGGUUACGUAUUCACUCUUAAUGGGGCUGCGAUUAGCUGGAGCAGCCAACGUCAACGUACUGUGGCGGCUUCGUCGGUGGAGGCCGAGUACCAAGCUACAGCGGCGGCUGUUCGUGAAGCUUUGUGGCUUCGCACGCUGAUGGUCGAUUUGGGCUUGCCUGAGAGCGCGGUGAAAAUCCAGAUAGACUCCCAGGGGGCGCUUAGCUUGGGAAAUAAUCCGAUUACGUCUGCUCGGUCGAAACACAUCGACGUGCAGCAUCGACCUUGCCUCGACCUUGCCUCGGCCGUGCCUCGACCUUGCCUCGACUGUGCCUCGACCUUGCCUUGGGUCUCUCGGCCGCGUAUCUCGGACGUGUCCUUAGGUCCAGGGAUGGUGGACAUCGUACGAUACUUCCAUAGGUACUGGUAUAUAAGACACGAGUUAUGCAAGUCUUAGAAUCUCAUCUUUGGAUGGAUCGGUAUUUCUUCAUAGGAAUCUCCUAAAGUCUUUUUGCCGUUCACCACUAACCCACAGGCUGUAACCCUUAUAUCGCGACCAGUCUCCAUGCCUUCAUAUUCUUAACAAACCGCCGACAAAUGCAAACGCUGCCGACUCUGUAGAUUUGCCUGACCCACAGUUUGCCGUCUCGAUAGCUAAAAGCUUCGAUGUGACGUUCGCCAUGUACAAAUCGCCGUCACGCAUUUGUAGUGUUGUCGUCACCACGCUGUACCGAUUGGGUAGACCAACAUGGACGGUAUGCGCCAGCUCGGUGUCGUUGAUUACGUGGCCGACACCCAACAAGUCCGUUUGUAGCUGCCUCGCACGCACGAAAUGAGUGGCUCGCCGUCGGAAGUGGCUCGCCGUUGACCAUCUUUAAGCGGCUGAAUUCUUGUCGUAGAGCCACCUUGCGGGCGUUGUUAUUGGCAGCGAACAUCGAGUUCAAGGCAUCCCAAGCCUUCUUCGCGUUGGCGGCACCGGUGACCAUCGGCAAAUGGUGAUCCUUCACGUUCUUGAUAAGCAAGUUGAUGACUUUCCGUGAUUGACGAAUCUGCUCCUCGUUGCACGGCUCGGCGAGCAAAGACUGCUCAAGCCCAAGCUCCAUGCACAUCGCGCUAAACCGGAUUUGCCACGUGGAGUAGUUGUGGAGGUCCAGCGGCUCAUCAAGCUUAUCCAUGACCAUUGUCGAUAAGGGAUAGAAAUAACAAUCAGACGAUAGCUGUCGGCGCUACUCGGGGCUCAUAACCUAUUAAGACCAGCAAAGCGCCGGACCCCCGUUGGGUCCUAUUACUGUGGCUACCAUUCACUGGUAUAUGAGUGUCGGUCAUUUCCAACAAGCUUGCUAUUCGCCGAACGUGGGAUAAACAUUUUGAUGUGUGGGAGCACCUCCUUCCUGCCCGCUUGCUCGGCCGCCAGCCCUAUCCAAUGCUUAUACUUCGCCAUGUGGAUUCCUGGUUGCUUGCACUCUGAAGGAUACAUGUCAGGCUGGACAUCUAAACGCGUAUGCUUCCAACCACUCAUUAAUCGGUCCUUGAACUCCAAAAUCACACCUUCUAUGUAAUGUGUAAUGUUACAGAGUGAGAGGCUUCUGGGCCGCUUUAUCACAUUGUCAGUUCUACGAUCAUUUAUCACCUUAUAGCACCAUCCACCACUACCACACUGUACUUCGCCAUACGAACUGGAAGUCCAAGGCGGCGGAUCCAGCCUUCGGGGACCCCUCCUCAUCCAUUCACCCGAACACCCGAAGAGACGGAGGGUUCGGCAAUCGCCACCAAUCCAGCGUGCGAAUCUGGUCCAUCAACUGUGACCUCAACUUCACAUCUCAGCAGCUAGCCAUAAUCUCGCGCUCCCGACUAAUUUGGGGGUCUACCCAGGAAUCGAAUCCAGGACCUUAUACCGCUAAUUGCAGUAGUGUCAACCCAGACAAGACCUUCUGGCAUUGGCCUGUUCAUCAGCCACUCCACUCGUUCGUCUACCUCGUGUAGCCCUUGCGGGGCCUCUUUCAUCGUGCCCCAAAAAACAUAGAAAACGGAGGAGUAGUGUCCCCCAUCCGGCCCCUUCGGGGUUGGAGAGGGAUUCUGCGACCUCCUGUCGUAAAACUUGGUAUGCCACAGACCCACGCUGUAAACGGACAUGGUUCCAAAACCUCACAACCUGCUUGAGAACGUGGUAGUGCAGGGGUAGCUGCGACAGCUCUGCGAACAGGAGGUGGUGUGUUGGUCUGGCAGCUCCUACAAUUUGCCGCAUGAAAGAUAUCUGAAGCUGCACUGCCCUGUCCUUUAGGCAUGCCUUGGAGGGCCCCUCUGCCCUUAUUCGCCUCACUCCGCUUCCUGAUCCUGUCCGAGACCUC